ACAGGAUUAGAUACCCUGGUAGUCCACGCUGUAAACGAUGUCGACUUGGAGGUUGUGCCCUUGAGGCGUGGCUUCCGGAGCUAACGCGUUAAGUCGACCGCCUGGGGAGUACGGCCGCAAGGUUAAAACUCAAAUGAAUUGACGGGGGCCCGCACAAGCGGUGGAGCAUGUGGUUUAAUUCGAUGCAACGCGAAGAACCUUACCUACUCUUGACAUCCACGGAAUUCGCCAGAGAUGGCUUAGUGCCUUCGGGAACCGUGAGACAGGUGCUGCAUGGCUGUCGUCAGCUCGUGUUGUGAAAUGUUGGGUUAAGUCCCGCAACGAGCGCAACCCUUAUCCUUUGUUGCCAGCACGUAAUGGUGGGAACUCAAAGGAGACUGUCGGUGAUAAACCGGAGGAAGGUGGGGAUGACGUCAAGUCAUCAUGGCCCUUACGAGUAGGGCUACACACGUGCUACAAUGGCAUAUACAAAGAGAAGCGAACUCGCGAGAGCAAGCGGACCUCAUAAAGUAUGUCGUAGUCCGGAUUGGAGUCUGCAACUCGACUCCAUGAAGUCGGAAUCGCUAGUAAUCGUAGAUCAGAAUGCUACGGUGAAUACGUUCCCGGGCCUUGUACACACCGCCCGUCACACCAUGGGAGUGGGUUGCAAAAGAAGUAGGUAGCUUAACCUUCGGGAGGGCGCUUACCACUUUGUGAUUCAUGACUGGGGUGAAGUCGUAACAAGGUAACC
rnacentral:rRNA from 1 species